rnacentral:rRNA from 1 species
UACAGAGGGGGCAAGCGUUGUUCGGAAUUACUGGGCGUAAAGGGCGCGUAGGCGGCCUGCUAAGUCGAACGUGAAAUCCCUAGGCUCAACCUAGGAACUGCGUCCGAUACUGGCAGGCUUGAAUCCGGGAGAGGGAUGCAGAAUUCCAGGUGUAGCGGUGAAAUGCGUAGAUAUCUGGAGGAAUACCGGUGGCGAAGGCGGCAUCCUGGACCGGCAUUGACGCUGAGGAGCGAAAGCUAGGGGAGCAAACGGG